UACGAAGGGGGCUAGCGUUGUUCGGAAUUACUGGGCGUAAAGGGCGCGUUAGGCGGUGUGUCAAGUCAGGCUGUGAAAGCCCCGGGCUCAACCUGGGAACAGCGACUUGAGACUGGCACGCUCGAGUCGGGAGAGGAUGGUGGAAUUCCCAGUGUAGAGGUGAAAUUGUAGAUAUUGGGAAGAACACCGAUGGACGAAGGCAGCCAUCUGGACCGACACUGACGCUGAAGGCGCGGAAAGCGUGGGGAGCAAACAGG
rnacentral:rRNA from 1 species